rnacentral:rRNA from 1 species
AUACGGAGGAUCCGAGCGUUAUCCGGAUUUAUUGGGUUUAAAGGGUGCGCAGGCGGGAGAUUAAGUCGGCGGUGAAAUUUUGCAGCUCAACUGUAAAAGAGCCUUCGAAACCGGUUUCCUUGGGUGGUAAUGAAGUAGGCGGAAUUUUUGGUGUAUGGGUGAAAUGCAUAGAUAUCACGAGGAACUCCGAUUGCGCAGGCAGCUUACUAAACUACUACUGACGCUCAGGCACGAAGGCGUGGGGAUCAAACAGGAUUAGAUACCCUGGUAGUCCACGCAGUAAACGAUGAUUACUAGCUGUUUGCGAUACAAUGUAAGCGGCUGAGCGAAAGCGUUAAGUAAUCCACCUGGGGAGUACGUUCGCAAGAAUGAAACUCAAAGGAAUUGACGGGG